AGUCCUGAUGAUGAAUUAAAACUUACUGAGGUGCUCGAUGCAGAAAAUUCUGGAGACCUGAUCUGAAGGAAC